UGGGAAGGCAGGCUUGAAGGAGACAAAGGCAGUGUGGAGGACAGUGGAUUCCUCUUUGCUGGAGCAUAUGGAGAGAUGUGCUGCACCAAUAGGAUUUUCUCAGUGGAGUCCAAGGUACUGGGAUUUGGGAAACAGGAUUAGCUGCUGUGUAAUAAUGUGGAUGUGAUGGGGGGCAGCAUGCUCAGAAGAGGCAGCCCAUGUGGUGUGUGUUUGUGUGUGUGUAUGCGCGUACGAUGGGGGGUUGAAGAGUGCAGUCAAAGGGAUUAAGAAGGUCCCAAGAAUGAGAUCUUCUUCUUCUUCUUCACUCUUUCUCUGAGUUAAAAAUGCAACCGUCCUAAUUUAAGGGCCGAGCGCUGUAAUGAAACAUGAAUGAGGCGCGCUGGAUUUGCACACGUGGGACUUUGCUCCCUAAAUGUUCAGCAUUCAUACAUACAAACAAAAACAAAGUCACAAACAGGCAUAGCUGCAUGAGGAGAAGACAAAAGCAACAUUUUUAGGGAACCUGUCUUUACUGUUUACUUAUUCAGCACAUUAACAAGUUUUCAACUCAACUUAAGAACAUGUGAAACACAAACCAGACCUCCUUAUCAGUUCUGGACUAUAUAAGCAACUACUUGGACACCAAGACUAGGCUCACUGUACUCUGAUAUGACCAUGAUGCAGUCUCCUGGAGUGAUACUUCAUUUGGGGGUCUUCUAUGCAAACAGCAGUGGCAAAUUUGAGGCUUGGGCUUUAAUUUCAUUGUGCUUGUUGUUUUCAAAAGCUGAAUAGCAACUAAAUAAAAAAAAUAAAUAAAGAGAAUUUGUAGCAAAAGAAGAAAAAAAAAAGUUUGGAUUUGUGCAGGAGGGGAAUAAAACACGAGAGUGGUUGUAGAAGGACCUUCCAAGAAAAAAUGAUCAGACAAAAAGGACGAUUUCUGUCAUACAAUAAAAGAUGAACAUAAAAAGAGAAAACUAAUGAAUAUUAAAAUAAGAUACAAUAAACAUAAUAGCCAAAAGCAGUUCAAGAAAAACAAAAAACAGGACAAAUAUUUGCUGUGAGCUCAGACUCUGCUGCAAAUAACUGAGAAUCAGUUUCGACUAAUAUAGCAGUUUCUGGGACUAUUAGAAAUACCGUUGAUAAUUAUGUUUUGAUAGUCAGGUGAGGGAUUUCAGUGCCAUGAACCAAGUUAACACAGCCUCGCUCUUAAAAAAGCAGUGUAAAAUUAGAUGAGAUUCUGGGGAACUGGGUACUUGAUUAUUUACACAAACAAACCCCAGUAGCCAUCAUGUAGAAGUCUCGUUCUUUGUUGCUGCACAAAUUAGCAAAUCUGGUACACUAUUAUUUGCUAAAUACAAGAUAUUUUUUCAUCAAACCUGACAAGUGGUUUAAAAAAAUCUCACAAUUCUUACUCUCAGGUGAAAAGAUGUUCAAGGUUUUUGUUGGUGCUUGUUCUUACUGUGUUCAAGUGAGGGAGUGACGUUUAAGCAUAGAUAAGAAGUGGACAACAAGAUUAACAGCUUCACUAAAUGUAGAUGUCUGUUUAUACUGAUUAAUAAAAGCUUAUUUAUUAUCAGACAGUAACAAGUGGAUUGAAGCUCACCUAAUGUGCUUAGCCUCUUGUGCUCUCCUGUAUUUCCUUCACACAAAAACAGCUCACUGAAACAGGAGUGGAAGAUACGAUUUGGACUUCAAAUAAAAAACACACUGCUCCUUAAACCAAACGUCUUGUCCUUAGCUGAACCUGCAGUAUAAAGGGGUGGUGGCAGUGGCUCAGGCUGAAAAAAGGGACCAUAAGUUGCAUUUAACCAGGAGGGCAGUGUUUUAAGUCCUGCUGCAGACUAUGUUUGAAAAUUUGGCCGGUUGCUGCUGGAGUCCUAAGCGCUGCAAGGGACCUCCAAGCAAAACACUGAAGCCUCAGCUCAUCCAUACACAGCCCCCUUUCUCUAACAUCUCCUAUAACUCCAUUAAUGCAUGUCUAGAGGAACUAUGCUGGGUUAUGAGUAUGUAAAUUUGACAGAAUUAAAAAAUCUUUUUACACAGAUAAGAUUUUGACAUAGAUGACAUUCAGCUCUGAAUUAAAGAUAAAUACCCCAUUAAAAACAAUGGCACUGACAGAAACACACAGAUUUAACAGUCAAAGUUUCAAUUUAACUUUUAUCAACUAAAAACUGUGUUCUCAACUCUUCAUCAAAUGUCAAUAAAAUCAUCAUCUACAAGCAGAGACCAAGCCUUGAAAAUCAGAAAGUUGAAAAUACUCUAGAAAGUGUUUCCAAAAAGAACAAACUUGUCAUGUACUCAAUGAGAAACAUCACUUCACAGAGCAAAAGUGUCCUCCGUUGACGCCCUGCCUCUGUCGAGUAUAUCUACUUGAAAGUUUGACAAACUGUGAAAUAAUGGAGAAAAGUGUCUGCCAAUAUGAAGAAUGCAUACCUCUGGUUCUGCUGCAUCAAUAUUAAUCCUUUUCAUUUAUUCGUGUGCCUGUCAUGAGUGGUAUAAUAGUGGCAGAUUUGUUUUUUGAAAACUCUAAAAACCCUAAUUCAACUGGAAACGUGAUAAAUUAUGGAAGUAAUACACUGCCAACAUGCUGCUUCUCUGUUGACUGUGAGUGCACUUAAAGCUUAUUAGUGACUUUAAGAGAGAUAAGGAGUUGAGUCUUUAACAGACACUUGAGAACUCUUUGAAUACAUUAAAUCGAUGACUUGGGACGUCCUAUCUUGCGUAGAGAGGUCUGUGUAGAGCAUUUCCGUCACCAAGUGGUGGAGAAUCGUCAGAAGUCACAUGUUUGUUAACACUAUUUAUGAAGCCGAGUCAAAAAUUUAUGUAGUUCAAAAAAGUUUUUUUAGUUUGUCAGAGGAGAUGCCUCAUGAAAUUCUGAUCCAGAUAUGUUCUCCAGACUAUAAUCACUGACUUUUUCAUAGUUUUUUGAUCUCUUAUGUGAUCAAACUGAGAAACUUUAUGAGUACUGUUUUAAGAUUUUAGAGAAUAAUCAAAUGCGACACGUCUGGCUCCUGAUCUUGAAAUAUACUAUAUUUUAUUCCGCACUGAAACAACCUAAUAAAAACUACCAUGUCUUAAUAUUUUCAUCUUAAAAAAUCAGUUUACUCCCGGUCUCUCUGUCCUUUCAUAUUGCUGUUUACUAUCCCCUCUGCAUUAAUAAAGUAAAAGAAGCAGGGAAGAUGGAUUCUCAUAUUACAACAAUAUUUUCACCUCAAGAUACUCGCAGCUAAACAGAAACAGGCAGAGGGAAAAUAAAACCAGAUGAAUAGUGAGGAACAAAUAAAGACAUGUCAGAUUACAUUACUGUGCUCGACACAAUAGUAAGGCGGUUGUCUCUGGAUCCACUCUACCUCUGUCUUCAUCUGUGCUUCAUUGAAUGUCACUGCAGAUGGAGAAACAAAGAUUUUUCUUCUGAUGGAGGAAUUGUCUGAGCCGAAGGACCGCAGAGCUGCACCGCCACCACCGCCUUGUUGAACACAGAUGGGG